CGUGUAGGCGGCCAGGUAGGUCUGUUGUGAAAACUCGAGGCUCAACCUCGAGACGCCGAUGGAAACCAUCUGGCUAGAGUCCGGAAGAGGAGAGUGGAAUUCCCGGUGUAGCGGUGAAAUGCGCAGAUAUCGGGAAGAACACCCGUGGCUAAGGCGGCUCUCUAGUACGGUACUGACGCUGAGACGCGAAAGCGUGGGAGCGAACA
rnacentral:rRNA from 1 species